UUUUUCUUUUCUCCCAAUUUUUUUUCUCGCUUCUGGGGUUUUCGCAUGAAGAAUGCUUCGAUUCGACGACUGCUGAGGAGAUUCACGUUGAGUAAUCUUAUGAUUAGCACGAAAUCAUGACAAUCGACUGGGCUUCUUCUUCUUCCUCGUGGUGAUUUGAUCUGUUCGGUUAAUUCAAGCACAAGACUAUUUCAAUCGGCUAGGAUUCUUCUCCGUCGUGAUUAUUUGGUAAUUAAGAUCUAGGGUUUGUUUGUUCUGUUUGGUUUGAUUCGGCACGAAACUAUUUUAAUCGGCGGCUUGGUUUCUUCUUCCUCCUCAUGGUUUUGAGACCGCAAGUGGAGGAGUCAAGAUGAGAGAUGAGCACUAAGGUACCAGUUGUUCCUACUCCUUUUCUUAGUUUGUGAGUUUGAAACUGUUCAACUCCAGUUUCACGUGUACAAGGUAAAUUCCUUUCUUUUUUUAUUUUCUUUUGUUAUUUUUUUUGUGUUUUCAAGUUUUUGAGGACUGAAAUCAAAUGGGGUACAAUUGAUCAGUCCACUUCUGUUCGGAUUUAUUGUUUUUAUUUUAUUUAAGCAAUUGACUUUUGUAUCAUUCUGAUUUUAGAA